UCAAAGAUGGACUCGCGUCCGAUUAGCCAGUUGGCGGGGUAACGGCCCACCAAAGCGACGAUCGGUAGCCGGACUGAGAGGUUGAACGGCCACAUUGGGACUGAGACACGGCCCAGACUCCUACGGGAGGCAGCAGUGGGGGAUAUUGCGCAAUGGGGGAAACCCUGACGCAGCAACGCCGCGUGAAGGAUGAAGGUUUUCGGAUUGUAAACUUCUAUUAUUUAGGACGAAUUAUGACGGUACUAAAUGAAUAAGCUCCGGCUAACUACGUGCCAGCAGCCGCGGUAAUACGUAGGGAGCAAGCGUUAUCCGGAUUUACUGGGUGUAAAGGGUGCGUAGGCGGCUUGGUAAGUCAGAUGUGAAAUGUAUGGGCUCAACCCAUGCACUGCAUUUGAAACUAUUGAGCUUGAGUGAAGUAGAGGUAGGCGGAAUUCCCUGUGUAGCGGUGAAAUGCGUAGAGAUAGGGAGGAACACCAGUGGCGAAGGCGGCCUACUGGGCUUUAACUGACGCUGAGGCACGAAAGCGUGGGUAGCAAACAGGAUUAGAUACCCUGGUAGUCCACGCUGUAAACGAUGAUUACUAGGUGUGGGGGGUCUGACCCCUUCCGUGCCGGAGU
rnacentral:rRNA from 1 species